rnacentral:lncRNA from 10 species
UGCAGUCAAGACCAGUAAACUCAGGUAUGAGCCUUGCAAGAAGACAUACAUAUUUUGCUGAUUGCCAAGGGGAUAAUGCAUUGGGUAUAAGAAGAAGGAAAGUAGAGGAACCAAUUAAGAAAUAUUUACUACAAUUAAGAAGAGAUGAUAAUAACUUCGACCAAGGUGGAGGCUAUGAAGAUGGAGCAAUGCGAAUACAUGGAGACAUGUUUUUGAUGUAGACUCAGCAAGAAAUUCUAAUAUAUUAGAUUUUAUGUUUUGGGAGAAAAAGAGACAUCUCCAAGAUUAUGGCUUGAAUAGAUUGGGACUAAUAGUGAAACUUGAGAGUGAUCA